UACGUAGGGUGCAAGCGUUGUCCGGAAUUAUUGGGCGUAAAGAGCUCGUAGGCGGUCUGUCGCGUCGGCUGUGAAAACCCGGGGGCUCAACCCCGGGCCUGCAGUCGAUACGGGCAGACUAGAGUGCGGUAGGGGAGACUGGAAUUCCUGGUGUAGCGGUGAAAUGCGCAGAUAUCAGGAGGAACACCGGUGGCGAAGGCGGGUCUCUGGGCCGAUACUGACGCUGAGGAGCGAAAGCGUGGGGAGCGAACAGG
rnacentral:rRNA from 1 species